AACGAACGUUGGCGGCGUGGAUUAGGCAUGCAAGUCGAGCGAAUCCCCAGCAAUGGGGGAAGCGGCGAAAGGGGCAGUAAGGCAUGGGUAACCUACCCUGGGGACUGGAAUAGCCCUUCGAGAGAAGGGGUAAUACCGGGCGACGAGCAGACAGGGCAUCCUGUUUUCUCCAAAUGAGUUUCGCCCUGGGAGGGGCCCAUGUGAUAUUAGCUAGUUGGUGAGGUAACGGCUCACCAAGGCGAAGAUGUCUAGCGGGUGUGAGAGCACGACCCGCGCCAUUGGCACUGAGAUACUGGCCAAACACCUACGGGUGGCUGCAGUCGAGGAUCUUCGGCAAUGAGCGCAAGCUUGACCGAGCGACGCCGCGUGUGCGAUGAAGGCCUUCGGUUGGUAAGCACUGUCGAGAGGGAGGAAAGGGAAACGUAGAUCUAUCUCUGGAGGAAGCACGGGCGUAAGUUCGGUGCCAGCAGCCGGCGGUAAGAGUCACGUGUA
rnacentral:rRNA from 1 species